rnacentral:sRNA from 1 species
UACGGAUGUUAAUAUAGAUGGGAUUUAUCCUGAAAGUUUAUGUCUGAUGACUUUGACAUAAGUGAGGUGGGGAGAUGACAUUUAAUCUGCAGGCACUUGACAAACAUUUCUCUCUUUUGAUCCCUAGAGCCUCUGCCCUGACCCGGUGACCCGGAGUUGGUGUGGGAAUAUCUUUAGGCUUUGUGGCCUUCCCGUUGUUCACAGUCACCCUGAUAAAGUAGACAAGGGUACAGUAGACACAGGUGGGUGAGAGGGGAGUGCAGGGUGUAAAGGAAGCCCCUGCUGAUUGAGGGCAGCCUCGUUCUGCCCCCUCUGGCUGUGUCAUCUGGGACCAGUUAACAUUUUUAGUUUCUUGUUCCUUACUUGUAAAAGGGUGAAUAAUGAAAAAUUUCAGAGUUGACAGAUAUCAGUCAAGAGCUGGGGCUGUGGUGGGCGUGGGUCGCAGUAGACAGCCUGCCUAGCCUUUGUAUGACCCAUGUUCAAUGUCAAACACUGCAAAACACAGAAACAACAACAAAAACAAACAAACAGUAUAGAUAUAGCCCCAAGACAGCACCCAAUCCAAGUUUUCACCCUCGAUUUCCCAGAGGGGAUCCCUAAUCUUGGGUGUGUCCCUCUGGAUGUUUUGUGGCCUGAAAUCCACUAUUAAUCUCACUAAUUGGUUCUUAACCUUAAAAAGGCAACUAUCCCCACAGUGCGAAUGACCGGGUCUGGCUGAGAUCAUCUGGGAGAAUAGGCUGUCUCCAAGCCAGUGCUGUGAUGGUUCCGUGGUGGGAGAAGAUUGGCCUGUGGACAAACCUGUGAUACAUUUUCUUGACUGGUGAUUGAUGUGGAGGCCCCAGCUCAUUAUGGAUGAUGCCAGCCCCUGGUAGGUGCUACAAGAAAGCAAGCGCGCUUCUUAUGUGGGGUGCUUAUGGCGAAUCUGAAGACAGCCAUCGUUCGAGGGUAUUGAUCAAGAGUCGGUGAGUGGUCAUUUCAACCAGGAAGCAAGAUGGGAACAUGGAGGUGGGGCCAGGCUUCUCCUUACAAACUUGAAAGGAUUUUAUUUGAAAAAAUUUAUACAUCUUCAAUAUUUAAUAUCGUCUCCAAUACUUAUUUUUCUUACUACAAUUAUAUAGCAGGAGGAAUGGGUAAUAAAAAUGUUUUCUGAAGCCCCACAGAAAGACUUCCUGGUCAUCCAGUCUUCUCCAGUAUUCAGCAUAGAUACUGAAUACUGGGCCUUUGUGUACCACUCUGAAACAUGUUUGGGAAUCUCUGCAGUGCAGAGUGUGAACUCCGGAUGUGGUCUGUCUGGAAUCCAGUCCCAUCUCCUCCACAUGCUGACUCCACCAGAGAGCUGCCUAACUGACUGGAACCUCACCUUCCUCAUCUGCAAAAGGGAGGAGCAACCUUGAUACGUGACCGUGACCGUACUGAGACCCAAGAACCCACACCACCGCUGCAGACCCAGCCCCCACCUCUCUCCGUGUGACCUCACUUUUAUGAAUCACUUUUCCCAUGAGCUAGGGAUUCAAAUGCAGCCAUGGUGGACUGCUGCAAUGCCAUGUGACCCUGCUGUCCAUUCGUGGUUCCUAUCAGGGGCUGGAUCUCAAGAGGGGCAAGGCUAGGUCACAGAGUCCCCAUAAAACAGUGAGUGCAAGAAGAGGGGGAACCGACACCCAGUGCUUGGCUGCCACUCGCUGAUUUAGUAUUCCGAACUCAGAAUUUAUGGAGCCGCCUUCCUCUGUCACACCAUCCAUCAGAGGCAGACAUUCAAGAGACGGAAGGGGAAAAAAUUAAA